rnacentral:rRNA from 1 species
GUGGGGGGAGCACGCGGAGCGAGUAAACGACCGUGCGAAACCGGGGGUGUCGCGUUUGGAUCGAGAGAAACGGGAGCUGGGGGUGUCGCCUCGCGUAGUGGUGAGGGAGGAGGGAGUAGUCGGCGACGGCCCAGAAGAGCGACCCCACCUUGUCAUCCCCUAGGCCGGCCUAGGCUCCGCACGCCCGCACCACCGUCCGUAGAAACCGUCGCCGCCGCCGCCCGUAGAGGCUGUAUUCCGCUACCGCCCCUACGAGCUAAGCGGUACUUGGCCAGGGACGUCCUCUCUCUUUCUUUCUCUCCUCCCUCUUUCGCUCUCCUUUCCCUCUCCCUCCACGCUGCCGCCCGCCCUCUCCCAGAGGCCGACCACGCUCUGUAAGUGCAGAGAGGAGGAGAGGACGAGAGCUGGUGGUGGCACCGGGAGGAAGAGGGGAAGUUAAGGGACAGAGGAGAAGAGACCUCAAUGGACUCACCAGUUGUGGCUCUUUCUACCCCUUCUGUCUCGGUCGCUCCUUCUGCCGAACUGAGACGGCGGCUACGACUGGCCGGUUAAGGCAGCCCGCGGCAGUACCCUCCUCCACUUGGUAGCUCCUCGUCGUGCCCUCCUCUAUUUCUAUUCGGCGGCCAGAGGGCCAAGUGAAGACCAACGUAGAACGGGCACUCGAGGAAGAAGAAUGUCGGUCGAACCGGGAAAAGAGCGGUAGAAAACCCAUUACGUCGCAUAGUUCGUCCGCUUCCGCUCCUAGUCUACGCCAUCGUCGACUUCCUCAGUACCUCUCCCCCGCUCUCACUCGUCGCCGACAGCUGGUUCUUCCUUCUCCGAUCCCGCUCCUGGCCUCCUCCUCCGCGAGUACCACCUCGUAUCCUCCUACCUCCGCCUCACGAUGACGUUGCCGACACCCUGACCCGCUUUCCUACUUUAAUAACAAAUGAAAUCUAACCCCACGACCUCGGUUACUUUUUUCUAGUGACGUCGAAACUUACAUCCGUGUGCAGUUUACUUUGAUAACCUACCUCGUUAAGUCACGCCACCCCAUGUCCCCGACCACGUCCUCCUAUAUAUUGUCGUCUCAAGUAGAGACAAAACGACUGUUAAAUGUGACUUUGACAACUUUUCAUCUAUUAGUCGGUUAUUUGUCAUUUAGUAGUGUAGAUAAACGAAAAGACCAUAUACCCCGGUAAUAAUAAGACCAUGAAGAUUUCUCAGUAAUAAGAAUACCAUGAAGAUUUAAACGUAUAGAAACACAAGUCUACCUUCAGUGGACCGUUUCCAGAUUGCAAAGUCUAAAUUACAAUAUAUGUACGGGUUCUCAUUAUGCAAUAUAUUAUAUGAGAUCUGACAUAAGAAUAAAUCAAAAAAAAGUACGAAGAACAAAGUGACCCGAUAACGUUUCUACUGUAUAGGUGAACCUCAACCUAUAAUAAAACUAUUGGUAUAGAUCGAUAAAAAUGUUUUUUAUAGUUAAUUGAACGUAGCUAAGUUACGAUCUCGCCAUCAGUACUUUGUAACGGUGACGCGGUGUUCCGCUAAUUUUAGUACCUUUAACUAUAUUUUCAAUGAACACUAAAUAUAUCAGUACAUUAGUGUUUGGUAUUACUAUUUUUUCGGUUUAGUAAAUAAAAUAACCUCUUAUGUAGUUUAUAUACCUAUUAGUUUCCACUUACAUUUACUUUACGAGGUACAUGCAAAUCCGAGGUCAUAUUCUAAUUUUAUCACCUAUUUAGUAACAUGGUAUAAGUUAAUCUUGAUGUUUCUUCUUCUCUUUACUAACUUAUCGUUUAAGACUGGCCGGUUAAGGCGGCCCGUGGCAGUACCCUCCUCCGCUUGGUAGCUCCUCGUCGUACCCUCCUCUACUUUUAUUCGACAGCCUGAGGGAUAAGUGAAGACCAACGUAGAACGGACUUGGCAUAGUGUUGUUUAGUAACCGUAACGUUGAAGUUCCUGUACAUACUACGUAUAGGGUAGUGACUUGUUCUAACCUAAAAUCACAUAUGUUCGGUAGGAUGAGCGACGGGAGGAGUCGAUGAGUCUAUCAAGAAGGAAGAGUAAUAGUCACUUAUUCAACCAAUGUCUUGUACGAACUUCUAACAUCAUGUAUCUCUAACGGACCGUCUGAUUUUAUUAAUCCUCGAAGACUAACCUGGGAAGUUCGUUAUCACAACAGUUAUAUGAUUAACAACCUAAUACAAUGAUAUGAGAAUCUUGUUGAAGGACUAUAUACAUAAAUAUCCUAAGAGACUCUAAACUACGUUUUAUAACUACCAGCCCACUUACAUCACCUGAGCAGCUCUAGCUCCCGUGGUUGCAGUAUACGGCUCCCGCAGGUAGCUGUUGGACGGGUUACAGGCCUAAGUGGCUCCUCAUGUUGACCUCUGUGAUAACCAACGGACGUCCGGACACUCAUGAACGUGAACCUGAAAAAAAUACUCGUCAUGAUUCAUUAGAUUACUAUACGAGGAACGUUAGAUUCCUUUGUUUUAUUUAGAUUCAGUAAAGGCUAGGAUUCCAAACCCAUGAUUGAUAAACACAAAUACAGAUGUUCGAAAACUAAAAGACGCACCAGAUAGAAAAUAAACGUUACAACCUGUGAGAAAGGAAAAGAACACUUAUUACAAAGACAAACUAGCAUGAGAGCUAUAUGACGUAUAAUUGAGAUAUGAUGUCUUAAACACUUGUUAGUCAUGAUGUGGGCCAAUAGAUCUCUCCUUCCGUUACUGUUGAUCUAAUCUGUAAAGUGUUCUAGGAGGGUUAAUGUCUGUAUUUGAGGAACUAAUAGCCUCUAACAGUCUACCUUUCUUCCACAUAGGAAAUAGAAAUAAAUCUACAAAUUAAUCGACAUGUUGGCAUGUACUAAAACAUUCCUUUGAUAAAUAGAACUACUAGGACUAUAGCUCAGCACAUAAUCAUAUCCGACAUUAAAAACCGAUCCUUAGAUAUAUACGUCGGUACAUACUUAUCCGAUACUAAGAAAAAAGGAAGACUUGUCUAAGAAAAAAACAAGUAAGGAACACUUUAUUAAGGUCUCGAUGAAACAACAUCAUUAAUAAACCGUGUAGGUAUUGAGUGGGUCAAAUACGCACUAAUAAAUCACAUAAACCAAGGUUUCACUUGUUUGAUAACCGGAAGCGAUCCGUUCCUAUCCACAAACCAUGGUUUUGUUUUUUAAUUGAAACAGUUCGAUUGAUCGUACGUACCCAAACUUAGUCGAUGAAGAAUAUAGGGACCUGAUAUCUAUAAUGUACGUAGUCAUGAACUACGUAGAGACUAUUGAAAAACGAUUAUAGUAACUUAAAGAGUACUCUAGAGAGAUCUGGAAAGGUUUACAUAAAAUCAAGUCACAAAACAUAAUUGAUCAUCUUCUUCCCUACGUUUACCUUUCUUAAACUCUACGUAUUUGUACUUUCGUGAUUUUCUAAGAGAGUUUCGUUUCUACAGAUCGGCCCUAUGUAUACCGUUCUUGGAAGUCUCUAACUGAAUAAAAGUCGACGAUAACUCUAUAUAUGAACGAGUAUCCAGUGUUGAGUACUUCAAUGGAGGAAAACCAAAACUAAAACUUUAUAUACACAGUAUCCAGUGUUGACUACUUCAAUGAAGGAAAAACACUUCCAGACUUAUAGCAGUACUAGAACCGACUCUCCGACCGUAAAACCUUCCAAGAGCACACAUAUCUAAUCAAUUAUCCUACUGUUAAAUUCAAAUAACUUCGAGAAGCAAUCCUCCGCCCCCAGACGAAACCAAAGAACGAUAAAAGGAAAGAGAGUUUCAUGAACUAGCCUACGUAGACUGUCAAAUAUUUAGUUAUUAAACCUACCAAGAUGAAUUUAAUAUUGAGAAUCAGAAAAGUGAAUUUUUAUUACACUCAAUAAAAAAUCCCCUUUUAUCGAAAACAAGUGAAUUAUUUAGUACAAGCAAUAUUAGUUACGACGAUAUAGUUUUUCAUCACAGAGCACGACCCAUCGUAGGUACAUCGAUAAAGAACUAGUAUAUUAGAAUAUAGGAUAUACACGUUUAGUCCGGAAAUCCGAUGAUCUUAAAGUGAUAACAAAUUGAAUCCUUUUCGACUAACUGUACUUAAUAUACACUAAGUUGUGAAAAUAAUUCAAAGGUAAGAAGAAAAUCGAAUAAUCAACGAUGGAUUCUAUCAUGGUUCGUACUAGAAACCAAACGGUACAUGUUGUGGUGUCUCAGUAAAAUAAUUCGACCGUAAUCAUUAAAACGUAAAAUGUACCAAGUACACGUUCAAUUUGUAGACGGGUUAUUAUGAUUAUAAUUCAAAUAUUACAACCGUGUCAGACAAUAACGGCAAUAGAAGAACCCUCAUGAACUCUUCCUCACCGACCCUUACACCCCUGUACCGUACCGUCUCCACGUACCAACCAACCUCCUCAGUGCCUCCGUACUUACACCUGUACACCUACAAUAGCACCGUAACUAUGCAAAGUGACGUGGCUACGACGUAUGGUUCCUAAGCAACCUUCGGUUUGUCCCGUGGGCUCUUCCUCUUCUCCUCUUACGAGACUUCUCUCCUUUACUAUUCAAAAUAGCAAAACAAAAUUCUCGUUCUAUUCUAAACUAUACAUCAAGGGACCAAAGAAACAUAAGAUGAGGGAGACAGGGCUUUAUUCACAGAGCUGGAAUCAUAUUGAAACAUGACCUCAAUCAUGUUUCAAGUGUGUGAAUAAAACCCUACCUCCCUCAUGAUACACAUACCGGUUUCGUGAGUACUAAAACAUCUGUAUAAAAAUUUGUUUUCGGAUACAAAAAAAAAACGAGUUUGUCUCAGUGACCUUUCACGUGUAUAAAAGUUACGCAUGUACUAAAGUUUACCCAGAUACACUUCUACGAUAUUUUAUAAAAUACAACAGUUUAAUUUUACACAUGUAUGUAGAGCAACAUCUGUUGUUAGCUGGUAAAAAGGAUAAAUUCCACUAACUUGGUACCUAUUAAAAAAGGAGUGUGUGUACCUAAAUCCCACGGAGAUGUGGUAAACCACGUUGUUCGUGGACAAAAGGAAUUGAUUCUCUCUAAUUCAAAUAACAGUAUACACGAAUGGGCAUUGUUUUAGUAGAUUUGAUACCUAAACAAAAGUAGUGAUUGUACCUUAGUCGUCCAGAAACACGAUAAACCGCACUGUCCAAAGCGUCGCAUUAUUGUAUAAAAGUUAUAUCGUAAGAUGAUGUUUAUAGCUUAUCCAAGAACGUUUUACUUUGAUAAAAGUAGCUGUUGUAACGAAAUCGGCCAGAGACGCGGUAAACCAGUUGAUCACAUCGAUUUAAAGUUACUAAACAGGUGUGUAUAUACGUAAUGUAUUAAUUAGUAUCACAUGCUUUAUACUUCUGGAGUAGUCUACUUUUUGUUACCUAGGUACGUAUAUACAAAUCGCCAUUGAGAAUGAGUUACAAAGUCCUCUUACGUACGAUUUUAGAAGUAAUAGUGGUCACCCUAACUACAUCACUAAGUCCUUCUUCAGCAACUAUUUAGAGGUUUGGUAGUCGUUAAGUGGUCGGCCCUCACCAAGUCCCCAGGAGCCAAGAUUCUACUCGACGCCAUAAAAAUUCUAGUCUUACACCGUAUACUCACCUCAUCUUCUAUAAUUAAUUCUAUCUGAAUAACCAUGAUUAAGCGUUCCUAGUAGUGUUGAUAGUCGUCUAAACAUCUACCUCUAGUACACAGACGUUUGUAUCAUAGGUGUUUCCAACCAGGGACGAAGAACGAUUCCUGUGACUUUAAAAAACAUGUUUUAAUCAGUACAUAAACAGGACAAUCCUUGUUGGAUUGGACACAAUCUACAUAAUAAAAAAGAAACCUGGUUUAUCUUUAUCCAAAUUAAUCUUCGAACUUGUAAACUGAUCGCAUUCUUGUCCAUAAACGUCUGAUAACCUAUUUAAAAGGUUUUUAUUGCCUAAAACCACAGAAUGGCCUCUUUGCUAGAGCACGACGUCUCCAUUAAGGGAGAACUUGUACAAAGGACUAAAUCAAAAGGUGUUACGCUCGUAUGAAGUUUACUUCUACUUAAAACUGUUGUAGUUAAUAACUUGGUCUAUCAUUACGUUUAAUUAAAGUUGUAGUAUCUUAAGUUAUGGAUAGGUACUUAACGAUUUCUACGCAGUCUAGGACUCGCAAACAACUGAGAGACUCUCUUAGCUACAUCAUUUGACACAAGAACAAACCUUGUUACUUAUGGUUAUAGGUUACUGCUGAUGUAUAAUUCUUUCGGUACUUUAAUGCUUAAUACAGCUUUAGACUUUCUGUUAGUCAUACGUACCAAUAAAUGAACUGAGUGGAAAGUACUAUACCGGUCUUUUUACUAAGACAUACCCUGUAUAAAAGCUUCUAUACCUGCUAGCACAAUUACCGGGUCAGGGCAAGCAGGAAUGGUACAUUACAACACGGUAAACGAUUACGUCAUAGAUACUUUAUGUGUGAGAGGGAAAAAGAAGAAACGCACAAGUUAGGGGACUCUCCUUAUUUUACGUCAAUCGACAAAUAGUAAAUGUUGGAACAUACCUCUUCAACUAGUCCCAAACAAUUCAUGAAUGUUUUAGUUCGUAGAUUGUUCUCACCGUAGUUCGAACAACUUCAACUUAUUCUCUACAUUCAGGAGUUUUGAGUGUAGUUUACUUGGUUGUAGCACAACUUUUACUAGAGACAACUUCACCUGAUCGUUUGGUACUUCUGGAUAACUGUAAACUAGGUACGUUAGAAGUACAUUGAACGCCGUUGACCUCUACGUGAGUAGUUUCAUAAACGGUUGUUCUUUACCGAGCGGUACCUACAUUAACGCAUGAAGUUCAUGCAGACGAAAUGAAAAUCGUUCGCAGUUAAGAUGAAGAAGUAGUAGGUCGAACAGUCUUUAUUAUAAUGAGGGG